rnacentral:lncRNA from 1 species
CUACCAGGAUGGAUAGACAACUUGGAUGAAUGAGCCUCAGAUAAGAUCUGAUUUCACAGCUCGCGGUCUUUUGGGACCACAAAUCGAUCCUUGAACCAAAGGAUUCCGUUUUCAUCGACCCGAAAGUGUUUGGUUUCUUCUUCUUUCAUUUUCCUUUUUACAUGGUGGAUGCCUACAUCUGUUUCGGAGCUGACCUAUUAUAAAGUCGUUGUACGCGCGAGCCAUGGAUGAUGAUUGCCUGGUGGACGGAGACGGAGCUGGUGCGACGUACGGUAGGUGUAGUGGAUAUAUGACGGCAAGAAGUCAAGUACACAUAAUGCCUAUCCACCG